GCGACCUGCUAGGGAGAAUCGGCCUCACCGCCGAUGCCGAAGGAGCAACCGCCCCGGUAAACUCUCAGGCGCCAGGACCUGGCAGGGCGC
rnacentral:ncRNA from 1 species